AAACGGAAGUGCCAGCCAUGGCAUACCUGAAAAGAAUUCAUCGAAGGAGGUCUGGUCCUUGUCACUAGAGAUGAAAAUCACUUCGAAUGCUUCAUCCUUUGUCUUAAUCUUCUGGUAUGCUUCAAUAAGUUUUGGUAGAAAAGCACGGCAUGGGGGGCACCAAUGUGCUGAGAAUAUAGGAGAUGUUCUUCCCCACUAGAUCAGACACGGGAAUCUGAANNNNNNNNNNNNNNNNNNNNNNNNNNNNNNNNNNNNNNNNNNNNNNNNNNNNNNNNNNNNNNNNNNNNNNNNNNNNNNNNNNNNNNNNNNNNNNNNNNNNUACCUGCGAGGAUUUGAGAUUGGAGAGUAGCAGAGGAAAAUAGGGCUUUUUAGGGAUUCUCUCGCUGGAAGACACCUUCAGAAAAGGGUUCUUGAUGCCCGAGAGAGAAGUGGGUGCCUUUUUUAUUUUUUUUUAUUUUUAGAUUUAGGGGAGAUAAAAAAAUAAAAAAUAAAAAAUAAAAAAAACAUGAGAACAAUUUUCUAUAAAUAAUUAUUAAUUUUCAACUUUUAUUUGGAUUAUUAAAUAAAUUUAUAUUAAUAAAAAAAGUUGUUAUCACAUUUUUUAAUAAAUUUUAAAAAUUAAAUCUCAAAUAAGAUAUUUUAUAUAAAUUAAUUUAAUUUAUCAUUUAAAAUAUAAUAAAAUAUAUAAAAAAAUCAUGAGAACAAUUUUCCACUCUCUAUAUAAAUAAUUAUUAAUUAUCAACCUUUAUUUUUAUUAUUAAAUAAAUUAAUAUUAAUAGAAAAAGUUAUUAUCACAUAUUUUUAAUAAAAUUUUAAAAAUUAAAUCUCAAAUAAGAUAUUUUAUAUAAAUUAAUUUAAUUUUUCAUUUAAAAUAUAAUAAAAUAUAUUUUAAUAAAAAUAUUUUAAAAAUUUUAAAAUAAAUACUGUCUUCAACAAGAUGAACUCCCUUCAUCUAAUAAUAUAUUGAAACUACAUCGAUAUCUUUCUUAGUAUAAAGACUAUUGCAAUCUCAUAUUUCUUAACUCAAUUUUAACUUUAUACACUUUCAAAAUUCAUAUAUAUUAUUUUUAAAAUUCAAAUAUCGAAUCUACCAAUAUAUCUCUAUUUACGAUAUUUUUCCUCUUAAUUAUAUAUAUAUCAAUUACACUUACAAGAUAACUUUAAAAUGUGUAUUCUUACUUAUGUUAUCAUUUUUUGAAGUUUUUUCAAACAUUCAUAUUAAUUUUAAAUAAUUUUCACUCCACCGAUAUUUAUGAAAAAAUAUCCACCGAUAUUUCUCCGAUAUUUCCGAUAUAUCCGUAAAAUUGAAGUACCGAUAUAUCUGUAAAAACCGAUAUUUCAAUCCUUGAUCAAGAGAAACAAUAUUUCAAACCCAAUCUAAUAAGUCCAAACAAAUAACAAUUUAACAAUAGACCCAAAUCCAAAUAAACAAUAUGCAAUUGAUAUAAUCUAAAUAUUCUCAAAUUAAUCACCAAAUACAAUAUGCCCAUAAACCCAAAUUAACAAAUUUUAAAUUAAUUCACUAACAAUAAAUUAAAUCAAAUUAUGUAUUAAUCUACCAACAACAAAUUAACUCAAAAUUUCAUAAUAAUUGAAUAAUCCAAAUUUCAUAAACAACAAUUACUACUAAAAUAAAAUAAAAUAACAACAAUAACAAUAAUAAUAAUAACAAUAAUAAUAAUAACAACGAGAACGGAUGAGAUGGGAAGGGGGUUGCCGGCCGCCAGUGGAGCGAGAGAAAAAAUGGAGAAAAAAAAAGAGGGAAGGAGAAAAGGAAAUGGGAGGCUCGGCCACCUAAAAAAUGGAAAAGAAAAGAAAAAAAACAAAAUCCAAAGGGAGAAAUGAGAAGAGAGAGAAGAUAGAAGAUAUGAAAGCGUGGGUGUGUGGCCGGCUUGGAAGGGAAGUGGAGUGUGGGGAGAGAGAAGGAAAAAAAAAAAAUCCAUGGGCCAUGUGUGUCUUCGGGUGGAGAAAAGAGAGUAGAAGAAUGAGGGGCCGAAGAAUGGAGGUGGGGGCGGCAGAGAAAAGGGUGGAAAAUAGGAAAAAAGAGAGAGAAAAGAGGAGAAAAAACGACAGAGGAAAAAGGAAAGAGAAGAGAGGAGGAAAAUCUUGGGACAAAAUGAUGGGGGGAAAAGAAAGUGGGGGGAAGAAUGGGAAGAGAGGAGGGCCGAAGAAUGGAGGUGGGGACGGCAGAGAAAAGGGUGGAAAAUAGGAAAAAGGAGAGAGAAAAGAGGAGAAAAAGCGGCAGAGGAAAAAGGAAAGAGAAGAGAGGAGGAAAGUCUUGGGACAAAAUGAUGGGGGGAAAGAAUGGGAAGAGAGGAAAAUCUUGGGACAAAUGAUGGGGGGAAAGGAAAGUUGGUGGGUGGGGAGGUGAAAGAAUGGGAAGAGAGAGAAGAAGAAGGUGGGGUGGUUGGGAAAGAGAGAGGAGAGAGGAGAGAGAAAAGAAAAAAAAUAAAAAAUAAAAAAAUAAUAAAAUAAUAGUAAUAAUAAUAAUAAAAUAAAAGUAUUAAUAAUAAAAUAAAAUAAAAUGAUAUACAAAAUAAUAAAAUUUAUUAAAUGGUGAGUGAGCCAAGGGCUCAAAAUUAACGUAAAGAUAAAAUUCGGAUAAAUUUUGGGGUUUAUACAUGUAUUCAUCUUCCAACAACCAAAUCUUUCAUUUUUUUUUUUCAAAAAAAAAAAAAAAAUUAAAGUUUUAGGGUUAAAUCACCUUACCUUAAAUCCAAAAAUCUAACCAUUGAAACUAAAAUAUGAUUUUGUAGGAAUGUUCAUCGUGUUGAAUAGAAUAUUCUUAUAAAAUUUGAGGCAAAACGAAGAUCGUUUGAUAGGUUGACUAACGUACCUAAGUUGAUAGCCCUUUUUCUUCCGCUCCUAGUUGACCUUUUCUUUCUUUCUUUUAUUAUUUCAACCGACUACUUCAUUUUAUAUAUAUAUAUAUAUAUAUAUAUAUAUUAAUACAACUUUAAAAUACCAUGCUUAUCUCUUUUAAUAAAUUAAACCAUUAUCCUUUAUUUCAUAUUCCACAAUUAUAAAUUAUACUUCAUUUAUGAUUUUUUGUCUUAUAAAAAAUAUUAUUGUAUUCUUAAUUAAAUUUGCUACAAACUUGAUUUUCAAAAUAUAUAAUUUGACUUUAAUUAUCUAAAAUAUUUUGACUUUAAAAUUCACUUAGGACAUGAUUCUAUUGACUAUUAAAAAAAUCAAUUUCAUAAAAUCUCUUAAACAUAAAAUAAUUUUUCGACAUACAAUAAGUUGAAAUUCAUAAUAAUAUUUAACCCCUUGAUUUUAUCAAUAUUUAUUUAUCAACAAAAAUUUAAGCAUUAUUCUAAAACUUAGUUCUAUCAAUUAUUUAGUCAUUCAAUUCAUAAUAAUUAAAUUAAUUCUCAUAAUAUGCUUAAUAUUCAAAUUGUCAAAAUCUAAUCUCAAUUAUUUGAUGAUCAAUUUUUUUUUCAAAUUUAAAUUUAAUUUAUAAAAGUCUUACUUUUUACAUAUGACGUGGUAGAAUUUUCAAACUAUUAAUUUUUCUAAAAUAUCUCAUAAUUAAUAUUAACAUCGUGGAUCUUAACUAUUUUUUUUAACCAUUUGACUAACAAUUUUAUAAAAACUUUUCUAAUCCUGAAUCUUAGUGUCAUUAAAAACCUGGGUAUUACAAAACUAGAGAUCACCUCUGCAUCUGGCACUAGUGGUGCUCCACCCCAUUACAAAUGGCAACUCUCAUCACAUCACAAAUGAUUAAUUAUCAUCAAAGAUUAAGGACCUAUAGUAACAUAGUCUUAUACACCUGCCAAAGAAAACUUCAGGCUUUAUUAACGGAGUCCUCUCAAACUCAUUGUGCUAUUAAGCAAACACACAUGGCUAGAAACCAUAGUCAUCCAACCACACACAUUUAAAAUCAACAAGAGUAUUUAUUAAAGAGAGACCUAACUUUACUCAAGCUUUGUAACACACCUCCCCAUCACAUUUCCAUCCUUCUCCGGGACUUGCCUUCUCCAUCUCAUCGUCUUUGCUUCCUUUGUCUUCUUCCAGUGCGCACUUGGGGUGGAGAUCGAAAUCACAUUCUUCACAAUAGAAUGACCACAAGUGUCCCUGCUUCUCACACCCAUUACAUACAUAAACGCGACGCUUAGUGAGCACAAGCUCAUGCUCUUCAUGAAGAGCAUGCUUCACCUUCUCAGGCCACCCCUUUGCCAUCUCCUCAUACUGCGCCUCGAUCUCCCUUAUAUGUUCUUCAGUGAAAGGAUAAGCAUCAGCCCCAUGAAUCAUAACAAGAUUUCUGGCUUCUGUUGUGACAGUCCGGCCAGUUGGCCCAAUGGCUAUGAGCGAGGGGAUGCCAUGGACCUUGAACGUGCGACUCAGGGAGGCCUUCCUUUUAUCCCCAAACGGAAGUGCCAGCCAUGGCAUACCUGAAAAGAAUUCAUCGAAGGAGGUCUGGUCCUUGUCACUAGAGAUGAAAAUCACUUCGAAUGCUUCAUCCUUUGUCUUAAUCUUCUGGUAUGCUUCAAUAAGUUUUGGUAGAAAAGCACGGCAUGGGGGGCACCAAUGUGCUGAGAAAUAUAGGAGGAUGUUCUUCCCCACUAGAUCAGACACGGGAAUCUGAAACAAGAGCAAUUUGUCACUGAUAACAAGCAUAAUGAGGGAGAGUAUUGCAAACUGAAAAAAGGGACACAGGGCACCCUGUUGCAUCGAACAACAUCACCUUUUAACCAAGAUCCAAAAACAGAUGUUCACGCAUCUACUGAAAGCAGAUCUUACCUUGACUCCAUCUUUCCCUAUCACAAAGUCUCUGUCCCCUGAAACCAAAAUUGACUCCAGUGUCUGUGCUUCCCGUUUUGCCUUCUCAAUCUCCUCAAGCUCUGCAAACUUCUCUGGGGUAAAAGGGUAUGCCUGAAUCCCAUGUUCUUGGAUUGCCUCGGCAACAUUGGAGUGAAGAGUCUUUCCAUCUGGCCCAAUAACAACCAAAGUGGGCAGGGCUGAGAGCUCAAAGUAGCGAGCUAGUUUCUCACAGCUCUUGUCCCUGAAGGGCAAUGCAAGCCAAGGCAUGCUUCCAAAAUAUUUUUUGAAUGAUUCUUCCUCAUCAUCAAGUGAUAUCAUGACAAUUUCAAAGCUCUCCCCCUUUGCCCUUAAUUUCUCGUAAACAUCCACUAGCGUUGGAGUAAAUUCAAGGCAUGCCUUGUAGGAAGACAAUGAGAAAAACAGCCCAACGAACUUCCCUUCUAGUUCAGACACAGGCACCUUGUAUUGAAAUAGUUCAAGAAAAAAUUCAGACCAGGAAGAAACAAUAUAAAUCAUGUUCAAAUUCAUAGAUAUGAGAAUAUAUAUUUCUUAAAUAACUCACCUUCUUUCCAUCAGUUGAAAUUACAUAGUCACGGGACUGAGAGACUAAGAUGGAUCUCAAGGAUUGUUCCUUCCUGGCUGUUUCUUCCUUCUCUUUCAUUUCUUUGAUCUUUUCAGGAGUGAAAGGAUAAGCUUCCACUCCAUACUCUUGUAUGAUAUCAACCCCAUCUUCGCUCAAAACCUUGCCAGAUUCAUCAAGCAUCACAAGGUUUGGAAUCCCCAUCACCUUGAACAGUUCAUUCAACUGAUCUCGUGCAUCUGAAUCAGAAAAUGGGAUUGCGAGCCAAGGCAUCUUGGAGAAAUAUCCAUUGAACGACUCAUCAUCAUUAUCACCUGAAACAAAGAUGAUUUCAAAAUCAUCGUUGGAGGAGAGUUCAUUGUAGGCCUCAACUAAUUUAGGGGUGAACCGCCGACAUGGCCCACACCAUGAUGCUGAAAAAUAUAGCCAAAUUUUCUUCCCCUUCAAACUCUCAACUUUAACCUGCAAAACACAGAAUUUAGGCCCAUUAAACCCUUUGCUGCUCAAAACUGUUAACAAUAGUUACGACUCUUGGUUAAUUGGGUCCGGCUUCUUUUUCCCCCCUUAAUCAGAACCUGUUUCAGCUCCUUUUUCAUUAGGAACGCAUAGUUCCUUUCAAGCUUUCUUUUACGGUAGAAUAAAAACAGAGAAGAUGGGAAAUACCUGGUGGCCAUUGUUGCGGACAAGAAAGUCCCGAUCCUCUCUUGUGAGAAGCGAAACCAAAUCGUGAGCAACGCCAUCAACGUUUUCGCUAUCCAUGUCUUCUGAUUUUGAUCACAAUUUUUUAGCCUGUGCCUUUGCACUUUGGUGCCCAGCUUUUAUAGCAGCUAAGUCGAUUAGGGUUAAGCUAACCAUCCUUGAGGGUGAAGAAAACCAAAGUCGACGUUGGUGGUGUACGUCAGAUGCCCAACGUCAGCGUGGGCCGCGGUCCCCUCUAGGGAAAAAGACAUAAGUUGCGUGGCUGCAUAUCGUAAUGAUUGUACUAAGAUUCUCAAAGUUUAGAUAAGGAGAUAAGUAUUGAAGAAAGACGUGUUUCUCAUCCGACCUCAUGAGCUCGUAUUCCUGGUGACAAGGACCCACAGUCUCUCUUUCACCUGAUUAGACCCCAUUAAAACAUAAAUGAAAAGAAUAAACUGAGAAUCAUCUUGGAAGAUGCCCAUGAAAAGUGGCACGAACUUAUUUAAUUGCUCUCAUGGAAUAAGAAUGAAAAGAUUGUAAGUUAAUAGUUUAUAGUUCUUUUACUCAAAUAAUUGAGCUUAAAUUGAGCAUAAUGUAGGUACCUUGUUAGCAUAAAUUUUCAUUUCUUAAUAAUUAAACAAAGAUAUUUUUUGCUUGAAAAAACUUGAGCUUGAUCUAUGCAAGAACACAAACAUUUAAAGAUAUGACUCUGUUCUCUAACCUUGGAUAAUAUAGAAUACACAUGUUUUACUGCCCUAGGUAAAUCUUUAUGAUCUAAGGAGGAAUUCCGAGCGAAGUACCUUUCACUCGGCUUUGGCUGGAGCAAUGAGAGUGGUUAGGGAAAGUUGAUGGAAUCUUACAUCUCUCCUUGACUUAUAGUUGGUUUUGACCAUGAACCUUGGAUGGAAAAUUUUGGUAUAAAAGUGAAAAAAAAUCGUUGUUUCAAAAACCUCAUCGUGUCAGCAUCCUUUCCUGGUGGGGAAUUGAACCUGGGACUCAUGGUUAACAAAAUGAGUAGUACACCACUAUACUAAACAACAUUUAAUUAAUAAUUUGGUAAAUAUCUAUAGAUCUGUUUUUUUAAAAUUUUUAUCACAUAAAACAUUUAAACAAAUAUAAAUAUUUAUAUCUACUAUUAUUUUUAUAAUAAUGAUUAAUUAUAAGCAUGAAAAUAAUAUAAAUUAAUCAAUAUAAUAAUUUAUUAACAUAUAAAUUAUAUAUUUAUGAUGUCACUUAUCUGACCGCGAUUUGACCAUUGCUUCGAUUAGUGAAUCAGUAAUUUUUUCGAUUCAAUGUUCAGUCUGAUUUUGAAAACAUUGAGAAAAAACUCACUCUUAUGGAUUUUUUAUCACCUUACUUUAUUUAUUUUUUCUUAUUUUUAGUUUUAGGAGUAGGAGUAGGAUUAACUUAGUUUAGUUUAAUUUUAGUUUCAGUUGUAAUAUUUAAUUUUUAUAUAAUCUUUCAUUAUUAAUUUUCAUUGUAAUGAGCUUUUAAUUUUUAGUUAAUUUCAAUUUCAAAGUUUAGUUUUAAUUUCUAGCUUUCUUAUGGUUUGAGUUUCUAGAGAUUUUAUUUCUUUGCACCUUUACUUUCUUCUAGACUUUACAUUUCUUUCUUGCCUUCAAUUUCAUCACGUUUAGCACCAAGGGAUAACUGUGUAGACCCCUUAAAAGACUAAGGGUUUUUCCAGUUGGUUUGAGGGACCACUCGGGUGAUUUUUUUUGAAGCGAGGAGGGGACCCCUUUUCUGCCAUGAAGGAGCUGCAUUGGACACGUGGACACGGCAAGAGGUAGGGGCGACCAUGCUGGUUGUUGAGGAGCCUUGCUUACUUGAUGGGUGAACAGCAGAGCCGGUAAUGACUUGCCAAGGAAGACAGGAACAGGAGGUUUGAGAGGGAUUUUUUUAGAGAGAGAGGAGAGGUAUAGAAAAGGAGGAGAGGACUCUUUUCAUGGUGGCCGUGAUAGAGACUCGGAGCUGGGGGGAAAAAGGAGUUAUACUGAUCUGGGAGGAAGAGAAAAUACAGGAAGCUGAGUAAGCACUGCCUGAGAAGCUCAGGUAUGGCCAACAUGGAUUUCUUUGUUUUGGAUUUUCUUCAUCUUCCUUCUCUAUUAUUGCUGUGAUUUUGUUACAGUUGAUUCUGGUCACAUUCCCUGGAGUUUUGUUUGAGCAUGAACUGUCUCUGUUGCAGCUUUCUUAUAAAAUGUCUAAAUCAUGCCUGGGUCCUAGUCUAAAAUAUAUUGAUCUCACUCGCCUGCGUUUAAGUACAUGGAUUGUAAUAUGAAACGUGGCUUUUCGCUGGUUCAUUUUAUUUCAUUCUUUUAUGCUCUGUUUUUUGUUAUCUUCCCCUGUUCCGGGCACCCAUCCAUGGCAUACACCAAAUUUCCUAUCCUUACAUGGAAAGGGAAAGGUAAGGCACCGUGUGAAACACGCUCUCAGUCUGUGGGGUAUGUAGAUCUGCGUUCAUGAGUCGGUCAUGCCGUGGUAUCGAGUUCUCCUUUAUUGAGGGUAAACAGAGUUGGUGUCGCCAAGUGGGGAUGGGAAGGAUAUGUUGCUAACAGAGCAGCCCAAGAAAUGUUUCUUCAUCUAAGAACGAAAUCAUUCGCUGGAAAGUGUAUCAAUGAUCUCCACUGCUGUCUGUUUAGACACAAUAUGGAACGCCUGGUGGCGUAGAUAUUGACAAGGUGACCGAGCACCUAUGUGAAAACUACGGACGUACCAGACUUGAAAAAUCCAGCAUGGAUUUCUCUGGAGAAUGCAUGAUGCGCCUGUAGACAUUUCUGGGAAUUUCUGGCAGGUCCAGAGUUGAUAUUAACAACCCUCUGGCACUCUUAAUUGGAGAACACUAAGGUCCAAUUCGACUCUCCAUGCAAUGAGUAGCCUCUCUGAUGCUUAUGAAGAUCAUCUUCUGGGUACCGAACUCGCUGAAACCUGUUUCGGAGCUGGACGAUGGUCCUUGCAUAGGGUCACACUUGGAGAAUCUAAGUUCAGAGAGCCAUUCUUCAAGAUCAGCAGCAGCGAUAACGGCGCUGCAUGGGUACCAUGAUCAUCAACAGAAAUCAUUCCAUUGUUUGAAUGUGGGAACAUUUUUAACGAGAUGACCAUUUGCAAUUUACACGACCACCUCCCUCUCAUACCUAUUUUCCUCAUACUCCCAUCACACAACAAGCCAAACCAUUCCAUCAUUCCCCUCAGUACCUCCUGCAUGCAAAUCCAUUGUUCCCAAACCCAUUGCCCAUAGCCGAUACCUAUCUCACCAUAUUCUUCUCAUUUUUUUCUUCAAACCCACUGCUUAUACUUCGUGCAACCAUACCCACUGCUAUCCACCCGCGUACACAUCCACCUUUCAUAAUGCCCAUGCAUGUUGCCACCUUUUCUCUCUCUACCCCACAUACCCUUCAUACCCAUUUUCCCCCACUACCCAUUUCCUAUCUGUGUGCAUGGAACCAUGCGUACACGGCCACCCUCAUCCUCAUGUCCCUCAUACUCACUACCCAUAUCUCACCCCCUUAUGCAUUUCCAUUAUUUCCAUUACCCAGCAUGCCUAUAUUCUUCUCAUAAUGCAUCUAAUAAACCCAUUUUUUCUAAUUCCAUUUCUAUUACUUACCUCACCUAUCGUUUUUCCCAUCAUUCUAAUCAUUGAACUCACACAUCUCACUUCCUCUCACCACUUCCAUACCCACCUUUCAUAAUACCCAUCUUCACACCACCUUUUCUCUCUCAUACCCAUUUUUCUAACAUACCCGUCACCACCCGUUUCUCUCUCUAAACUUAUUCACACCCAUCUCCUGCACCCAGCAGCCGCAAACCACCCAUUUUCCAUCUCAACCCGUUCGGCUGUUCUGUGAUUGAUGGACCUCAUGGUGACAUGGGUCUCACGACUCUUAAAAAAUAGGUUUUCGUUGAAGAAGCUCCAUGUCGUUCUAUGGUAUUUGGAGGACGCCCCCCGCCCACGAGCAAGUAUUUGCUGAAGCCUUUUUGUUUCCCACUGAUGGCAUUAAUGUUUAAACAAAUUGGUGGAUAAAAGUUAAAGACACGAGUUUUUUAUAUUAUUUUUUAUUCUUCAUUGGUGGCAUGGUUCCAGCAGGCUUCAAGGUGGUUUAUUAUUAUUUUUUCUCUUUUCUCCCACGUGCCAUCUUCUUAAUUCCACUUUACAUGUUAAAAUUUUCAUUUUUCUGAAAGCCCUGUUAUCAAAUAAUUCUUUUAAAAAUCCCAACAUUUCAAAUUCAUUCAUUUAUUCAUUUAUUUUAUCUAUUUUAUUCAUUUAUUUUUUAUUUGUCUAUUUAUUUAUUUAUUAUUUUAUUUAAGAAUAUAUAUAUAUAUAUAUAUAUAUAUAUAUAUAUAUAUAUAUAUACACGUAUCAUUUUCAAAAUAAUCUCGUAAAAUGUGAUUUUUAAAUUUAUUUUAUGAAACUUCAGAUCUAACAUUCAAUUUUCCAAAACUCCAAUAUUUUAAGUUUAAUUUUUCAAAAUUCAAUUCUCGAAAUAAUUUUCUAGAACUCUAACUUUAAAUAUAAUUUUCCCAAAAUUCAAAUAUUCAGUUCCAAUAUUCCAAAAAUUUCAUUAUUCACGUUCAUUCGUUUAAACAUUAUUUUUGUUAAUAUUAUUAUUAUUCCAUAUUUAUUUAUUUAUUUCUUUUAAAAAUUUCGAUCAUUAAAGUUUAAUUAUUAAAAAAAUUCUGACUUCUGAAUUUAGUUUUCAAUCUAAAAAAUUUUCACUAUUCACAUUUAUUCGUUUAAACAUUAUUUUUAUUAUUAUUAUUAUUCCAUAUUUAUUUAUUUAUUUAUUUUAAAAUUUCAAAUCAUUAAAGUUCAAUUCUUGAAAAAUCUGACUGUCGAAUUUAAUUUUCAAUCUCAAAUAUUCCAUUAUUCACGUUUAUUCGUUUAAAUAUUAUUCUCAUUAUUAUUAUUAUUAUUAUUAUUAUUUCAUUCAUUUAUUUUACAAAUUCCAAUAAUUAAAGUUCAAUUUUUCAAAAUUUCGUUUUCCAAAUUUAAUUUUCAAUCUAAAAAAUUCCACUAUUCACAUUCAACUGUUUAAUGAUUAUUUUCGUUAUUAUUAUUAUCCCGUUCAUUUAUUUAUUCACUUAUUCAUAUAUUUAAAAAUCUCGUCUCCAAAUAAUUUCUCAAAAUCUCAAUCUUAAAUUCAAUCUCCUAUCUCUAAACUUCUAUUUUUGGCAAUUAUUUACCUAAUCUUUAUUAUUUCAUCAUUAUUAUUAUUUCACUCAUUUAUUUAUUCGCUUAUUUGUUUAUUAAAAUUUCGUCUUUAAAUAAGUCUUCAAAAUUCCAAUUCCCAAAUUUAGUUCUCUGAAAUUUCAAUUCCUUUCAAAUUUAAUUUAUAAAAUUCUCAUUCUUAUAUUUAAUUUCUAAAAAUCCAAUUUUCAAAUAAUCUCUAAAACUCCAAUUUUCAAAUAAAUUUCAAAAAUCCAGUUUUCCCUCAAGUAGUUUUAAUUUCUAUUUAGUGACACAUGUGAUAUGUUUUGUACUCUUUAUUAUACACUGACCCCAUUUUUAUGAUAGCGCAUUGUUCGUUCGUGGCCCAGGUAUGCAUCUCUUCCCAUUCUGGUCAUUCUCUAUGCAUGUUUUGAUUCCUAUGUGUGCAUGAUCGAUUUGAGUAUCCGUUGGUUUUCCUAUUGAUUACCCCGUCAGCUUCAUCUUAUUAGUAGAGAUCCGAUUUUAGGGACCUAGAGGGGUGCUAUGGUCUUUACCGUACUUUCCUGAUAAGUAACCUGAUUCUCGAGCCCGAUCUGGUUUUUUACAGACCACCUUUUUCAAAAUAAGGAGUCACACUUAGGGUUUUCUUUUUUAUUUUAUUUACUCUCUUAAAAAUAAAACAAAUAUAAGUGGCGACUCCAAAUCAUAUUUUUUUUAAUAAAUAAAAAUCAUUUUCGAAUAAAUAUCGAUCUUGUCAUCGAGUGGAAAGCGCAUAAACUGAAAUGCGGGGUCUACAAAAUGGCAUUAAGAUUCUUCCAUAUCUCAACUUAGCUCUUUGAUGGCUUAAAUGUGUUUAAAAUGGCAGAUGAUGAAUGUUGUUGUAGUGGUUACAAGGAUUGAAAGAAAGAAACCACGAGAGUAAAAGCUUGUAGCACCGGUUGCAAGAACCAGAAGAGGACAACUUAGGGAGCCAAUUGAAAUAGCCUUCUUGAGCAAAGCACAAACCUACAAGAUUGAAAUGAAACCCAUUUGUAGGGUGAGUUUAGUAUUGUUGAUAUGGUUCUUAUUCCAUAUGACUAGGAAUCUUUUGGUAUAGAUCCAUAGCUUGGAGGAGGAUUUGGGCUAGGAGUGAUGAUCUCAAUGGAUCUUUACUCUUGGUGUUUUACACGACCAUAGAAUGGUUUAGGACCCGGUAUCUCAUGGGCUGCAGAAAUAGGCCCAAUUGGCCAGGGUGUGCAAGGUCGCGGAAAUAAUCUGAUAGUCCCUUCUCCUUCGACAGUCCUCUUUGAAAUCCCAUUUCAGUAGCCCUAGACUCCGACGAUCCUACACCUUCAAAUUAAGGUAAAACAAAUUUCUCUCCCGUGUUAGAUUCUAAAAUCCCAUUUCUGAACUCCUUUUUUCUUCUCUCAUUUUCCUUUCUCCUCUUUCCACCUCUCCAUUGCAUCAAAAUCGUAAAUAAGAUGGAUUUGUUUCUAUUCAAAUCCAUUAUCAAUGGUUGUUAAAUUUUCUUUUUGAUUCCUUCAAUUUGAUUUUUAAUCUCUUGUUUAACAAAUCAUUUGAUAGGAAUUUUUGUGCUACCAUUUCAGUAGCAGAUUGCAUAUUCAUGUGGUGAUCACUCUUCACAAAAUCGUCAUUGUCGCUCCUCUGGUACUUCUUUUUUCAUUUACACGCGCUAAAUUUUCUCUAACAAUUUGUAUUCUAGGGUUACUCUGUUUUUGCUAUUUUAGUUUGCGAAAGCCUGUUUAUUUUGCUAUUGCAUUUGCUUUUGGGCUCUCUAGAGUUCUAUCACUCCUUUUGCCUUAAAAUUGCAGUUACCUUUAGGAGGAGUGGAAAGAGAGGCAUAAGGAAACUUCGGAAGAUAUAUCUUCUAAAUUCUUCAAUUCGCGAUUUGUCCCACUUGAGGUAUUAACUCUAGCCUUAGCAGGCAUAAAGAAACUGUUAAGACUUAUUUAUUGCGUUGCGAAAAGAGAUUAUAAGUGAGGAAUUGCCUUUAUGCUGUUUCUAGCAGCCUCCUUAUCAUAGGAAGGAAUGACUUUAUGAUGAUAUACAGAAAUGGCUAAGGGGGUUGAUUUAAAGGUUUUUAACAUAUAUGCAUUUAAUAUUUACUUUUGUUUGAUAUUCAGAUUGCAAAUUAUAUUUACAAAAUUUUGAUGCAAAAUAUUGUGGGAAUUUAGCAUAGAACUGGGAGCUGAUCAAGAAUGGUGAUCUUGAUUAAUAAUGCAGGUCAAAAGAUUUUGAGGUAGGGUUGUAGUUACUUGUCACAAUUUUGUGGGACUCUGUAGAAACUUUCUUAAAGAUAUGGAAAAAUUAACCUGAAUUUCUCUCUCAAGAUUUCAAAGGAGAUUACGAGCAGUUUUGUGAAAGAAAAUAUGUGGUCAAGUUUUGUUUUAUUAACCUGAAUUAUGUUUUUGUUGAAGGUUUUACAGGUUUUAAGGAAGAUAUCCAAAUUUAUUUCUGAUUUUCCUGUAGCAGCAUUUGAUCGUGUACCACUUUCAUAUUUAUCAGCUAAUUUCACUUUCAACACUGUUAACUACGUAGGUUUUUUGUAGAUAAGUGAUCAUGCAUGUGUCCAGAAUAGACAGUGGUUUUUUAUCCUUAAUCAAUUUGUUUGAAUGAAUUUACAUUUGAUAGGUUGCUGACUUGUAUGGAAUUAGAGCUAGCCUUGUGGAUGGUGGUGAAAUUUAUUAUCAUAAAAUCAUUGUUGUUUUGUGAUAGGUGAUUUAUUAUCGUGAAAUUUAUUACCAAAAGGCCUCUAUACUUCAUGUAUCUUGUGUCCCACCAAUAUCUGAUUCUGUAUUUUCUUCUUUGUGGAUGAUCAUAUCUCGGUAGCAAUGGGUUGCAACAGUUCAAUUUUUUUGGCUCCCAAGUUUACUAAAAUUAGGUUUUGUAUAUUAUUUUUUAACUGGCUUAUGGAAUAUAGAUUUCAGCACAUCAAUCCUGGGCCUCAUACUCUGUUUCUUUUAUUGUUUUCAAACUGAUCUAUGGUUUUACAUUUAUUUAACAGUUUUUUCUCCUAAAAAUAUGUUCAGAGAGAAACAUAAGCCACCAUACUGAUAUUUCCUGCUUAUUUUUCAAUCACCAUCUGGUUGUAGCCAUUUAAAGUCUGAAAUGUUGUCUGCCUACCUAUAGUAUAGGUUUCUGUCACAUUAUAUAGAGACAAAAUCCUUCCCUGCUUUUGGGGUUUAUUUUAAAAUUUAAAUGCUUCUCUAUUUGUAGGGAGGAAAAAUCCAGGACUUGCUUUUCCAAAUACUUGAACAAGAAGAGGAUGUCAUGAUAAAACAAGGUGCACAAUCUAGAGAGAGUCGACUAAUGGCUUCUAGGUAUGGUGCUCAAUCCAAAACUUAUUCAAAUAGGGCCAAACCAGCCUUUAAAAUGAGAUGCCUGUAUGUACAUUUAGCAACCAUAUAUGUUUCUCAACAAUGAUCAAUAUCUAUGCCCUAUAUUGCUGUAAUUGAAUUUGUUUUCUAUGCAUGUCUUGUUUGAGUUGUGAUGCAGUGGUUUAAUGAUCACCUGGAUUUCAUCCAAAGAGCAUGUUUAAAUCUUUUUUGACUGAUUGUGGUAUUGUUCAAACUUUAAAUCUUUCUUGACUUGAUUGUGGAACUGUUCAAACUAAUUCUUGUUUCCUUUGAUAAAAUAUCUAGAAGGAAUGGACAAUGCCUUCAGUACCAGCUGGAUGGAAUGGACAUACCAAUCAGGAGAAGAUGCAUCAUCUUGCAACAGGUUUUAUAAUAGUAACACCUUAUUUGGUAAGAUCAUUGGAUGGAAAUUUAUUGAUAGAGGGAUCCUUAUUCUUUUUAAAAAAAUUAUGAUAUAGGAAAGUGAUUGGAGCCAGGUAUUAUUUGAGUGGCUAUGAAGCUGAAGAAGAUCUGAUAAUGUCUGUGUCAUUCAAAUCCCCUAGGGACAGUUCUGGUCAUGGCAGCCACACAGCCCCAACAGCUGCAGGCCGGUAUGCGACAAACAUGAAUUAUAAGGGCUUGGCAGCUGGAGGUGCUAGAGAAGGUGCUCCAAUGGCAAGGAUUGCAGUGUACAAGACUUGUUGGGACUCAGGGAGAUUAUUUUAAUGAUGCCAUCUCCUUGGGGUCAUUGCAUGCUGCUAGCCAUGGGGUAGUGGUAGUUGCUUCAGUUGGAAAUGAAGGAAAUUAAGGUUCAGCAACAAACCUUGCUCCAUGGAUGAACACUGUUGCUGCUAGUUCAACAGAUAGGGAUUUUAUAUCUGAUAUCGUAUUAGGAGAUGGUGCUAAUUUCAAUGUAAUGCUAUUUCCUUGUUAAUGUCUGUAGAUUUAUACAUUAUUCUCAGGCUCUUAAAACACUUCUUGGUCAUUGAAUAGGGUGAAAGUCUGAGUCUGUUUGAAAUGAAUGCCUCCACAAGCAUCAUCUCUGCUUCAGAAGCCUAUGCAGGAUACUUCACUCCCUAUCAAUCCAGGUGAAGCAGAAGGUACCUGACAAUAAGUAUAGUCUUAUAUAUUAAUGCAUAAAUGAAAAAUCUCAAGUUAUGUUUUCUUGUUUACUUGUCCCUCUAGCUACUGUUUGGAGACUUCCUUGAAUAAUACUAAAGCCAGACGGAAGAUUUUGGUAUGCCAACAUGCUGAAAGUUCAACAGAUUCCAAGCUGGCAAAGAGUGCAGUAGUCAGAGAAGCUGGUGGAGUUGGAAGGAGCAUGGGGACAGGAUUCUAUCCUAUAUUAAUCAUACAAGGUUUUUUUCUACUCUUUGACGAUGAAGAUUCGGUGUGAGAUAAUUGAAUCACUUUGUGUUUCUCAUUUAAGGCUAUUCCAUUUACAUGAAUAGCAAACCGGUUUCUAGAAUUUUCCCUGCAAAAACUGUAUUGGGAUCUCAUCCUCCUGCCCCUCGAGUUGCAGCAUUUUCUUCAAAAGGUCCCAAUGCCUUAAUCCCAGAAAUUUGGAAGGUAUAUUCCUACUAAAGAUCAUCAAAUUUUAUGUGGGCUGCUCCUUUAAUUACUUGUUUUUAAUUUUAUUCAUGCUUUAUUUCUGAUUAUUCUUCUUUGUAGCCUGAUGUCAUGGCUCCUGGAUUGAAUUUUCUUGCAGCCUAGUCUCCAGCAAUUGAGAAAAUGCAUUUCAAUAUUCUCCUCUGGAACUUCUAUGGCUUGUCCGCAUGUAACAGGAAUUGUGGCCUUGGUCAAAGCCACCAGCUUUGUAUAUAAUGUCUUGCAUUAAGGAAGCACUCACCAGUGAUUUACUUACUAUUAAAUAUAAGGACCUAAAAUCCAUGGUAACCUUGUGACAAAAUACAUGCUCCUCUAGGCUUUGUCAACAGUGUCAUCCAAAGCUCGUUAUGCUAGCUGUUACAAGCACACAUAUAACUAAAAACCAUAGCCAUGGAAACAAAUAUUUAAAAUCAAAAGGAGCUUUUACUGAAGACAGCUCAAACUUCUCAAGCUCUGGAGCAUACUUCCCCAUCACAUUUCCAUCCUUCACCAGGUUUUGCUUUCUCCAAUUUAUUAUCAUCUUUGAUUCCUUUGUCUUCGUCUAGUGCGCACUUGGGAUGGAGGUCGAAAUCACAUUCUGCACAAUAGAAUGACCACAAAUGUCCCUCCUUCUCACACCCAUUACAUCUAUACAUGCGAUGCUUAGUGAGCACAAGCUCAUGCUGUUCGUGAAGGGCGUGCUUCACCUUCGCUGGCCACCCCUUUGCCAUCUCCUCAUACCGCGCUUCGAUCUCCUUUAUAUGUUCAUCAGUGAAGGGAUAAGCAUCAGCCCCAUGAAUCAUAACAAGAUUUCUGGCUUCUGUUGUCACUGUCCGGCCCGUUGGUUCAACGGCUAUGAGCUUGGGGAUGCUCCUGACCUUGAAGGUGCGACCCAAGGAAGCUUUCCUUUUGUCCCCAAAGGGAAGUGCCAGCCAUGGCAUACCUGAAAAGAAUUCAUCAAAGGAGGCCUGAUCCCUGUCACUAGAGAUGAAAAUCACUUCGAAUGCUUCAUCCUUUGCCUUAAUAUUCUGGUAUGCUUCUAUAAGUUUUGGUAGGAAAGCGCGGCAUGGGGGGCACCAAUGUGCUGAGAAAUAUAGGAGGAUGUUCUUCCCUGCUAGGUGAGACACUGGAAUCUGUAACAAGUGCAAUUUGUAAUUGAUUGGGACGGAAAAGUGCAAAAUGAGAAAAAGAGAUGGGAUGCCCUGUCUCAUUCAAGAACAUAGAGCAGAUGUUCACACAUCCUGUGAAAGCAGAUCUUACCUUGACUCCAUCUUUCCCAAUCACAAAAUCUGUGUCCCCUGAAACCAAAAUUGACUCAAGCGUCUGCGCUUCUCGUUUUGCCUUCUCAAUCUCCUCGAGCUCCACAAACUUCUCUGGUGUAAAAGGGUAUGCCUGAAUCCCAUGUUGCUCAAUAGCUUCGGCAACAUUGGAAUGGAGAGUCUUUCCAUCUUGCCCAAUAACAACCAAAGUGGGUAGGACUCUGAGCUUAAAGUAGCGAGCCAGUUUCCCGCAGCUCUUGUCAUUGAAAGGCAACGCAAACCAAGGCAUGCUUUCAAAGUAUUUUUUGAAUGAUUGUUCCUCAUCAUCAAGCGAUAUCAUGACUAUUUCAAAGCUCUCCCCCUUUGCCCUUAGUUCCUCAUAAACUUCCGCCAGUGUUGUAGUAAAUUCCUGGCAUGCGUUGUAGGAGGACAAUGAGAAAUACAGUCCCACUAACUUCCCUUCUAAUUCAGACACGGAUACCUGGGAUAGAAAUAAAUCAGGAAGAAACAAUAAACACCAAGUUCAAGCUCAUAGAUGUGAGAUUGACUGUGCCUAGAAUAUUUGGAUAAAGAGCAGUGCCUUUGAAACUUACCUUCCUUCCAUCAGCUGAAAUAACAUAGUCACGGGAUUGUGAAACCAAGAUGGAUCUCAAGGAUUGUUCCUUCUUGGCUGUUUCUUCCUUUUCCUUCAGUUCUUUGAUCUUUUCAGCUGUGAAAGGAUACCCUUCCACUCCAUAAUCUUUUAUGAUCUCAACUCCCUCACUGCUCAAAACCUUGCCAGAUUCAUCAAGCAUCGCAAGGCUUGGAAUCCCCCUCAUCUUGAACAAUUUCUUCAAGUGAUCACGCGUGUCCGAAUCAGAAAAUGGGAUUGCAAGCCAGGGCAUCUUGGAGAAAUAUUCAUUGAACAACUGAUCGCCUUUGUCAAGUGAAACAAAGAUGAUUUCAAAAUCGCCUUUGGAGGAGAAUUCAUCGUACACCUCUACUAAUUUAGGGGUGAAUUGCCGAC
rnacentral:lncRNA from 1 species